UAUUGCAUGGAGAGGCUUGUUCUCUCCUGAUAUUUGGGCAGCAGAUAAUGGAAUGGGUGGCAAUUGUGUCCUAACAGAACUGAAAACAGGUAUUAUCCGAUGUAUGAUAGAAUCUAAAGGAUAUCUCAAGUUAGUCUUUCUCAUCUUACAGACAGUCCUGAAAAGGGAUAAUUAAUGUCACCUCUUUAUUAACAAUCAUUAAGGUUUCAUUCAUUAUACUUAUGUUUAAUGAGCCCUCUGAUCUGCUGUGGAAGAUUAGACAGGCACAGAAGCUGAGCUGGGCAGUGCCACAGACCUCCUGGCCCCGGCACAGUGCAAUCCAUGGCAGAGGAAAACUCAAGGCAAGAGCAAAAGUGGGGACAUUACGUCUGGUCACUCUGACCCUGCUGAUGAGAGAAGAUGUAACAAGGACAUUGCUGGCACAAAAGAAUGGAACAGAGGCUUGAUAACCAAAAAGAUUGCGUUGCUAAGGGAACAGAGGCAAAGGGGUCCCAGUGGAAAAUUCUGUAAGGACAUUAGAGAACUGUAAAUACUGGUGAUUAGUGUCAUAAACUGGCUUUGCUUGCAGAGCACGGUCGACAUCCCUCAAUCGCUGCAAUCUUCGGGAAACAAUUCCUUCCAAAAGCAAGUGGGAACUCAAAGCUAACACAGAGGUUUAUGUUGUGUGCUCGUAGCAUGUGCACUUUCUCUCAUUUGUGCAGACACUGAUGCUUCCUAAUGCCACUGUGAGAGCUGUGCAUCGUUCCACACCCCCUGCAUGAGCAAGCUCCUAUCUGUGCUCACACAGCUUAAAUGAUGUGAAAUCACAAUACAGUGCCCCCUACAACAUGCAACAGUAAAACCCACUUUAGCUCAUCUUGGAGAUUCCUGGGAUACUCCAGCACAAUUCCAAGGAGAAAUACACCUUCUGUGCAGAAGAAAAUAUAUCCUAUUUAUAAUAAAAUUUCCAAUUUUAUUAUAUAAUAAAAUUCUCCGAUAACAAAAUACCCAAAAAUAGUGCCACAAUAAUUAGAAUCCAAAGUGCUUGGGAAUGGCCAUAUGGCUACGGGUGCAUAAUCAAGAUGUGUCCAAUACUAAAGCUGAUACAAAAAAAAAAAAUCUUUUUUAUCAGAAAAAUUCACCUUCAGUCCAUUGGGUUUUGAACACUAAAUAUUUAUAAUUCAAGGAUCCUGCUUAAGAGAUGAAUGUGUUUUGGAGUUUUAUAUAAAGUGGAACAAGAAGCAGUACUUGAAAAAGAUCAAGCUCAGUUGACAUCAACACCUUUAUAGACACAAAAUGUUAAAUCAGACACUAAUUGUUAGGCAUGCCAAGGGGGAAAAUAGCAAUGUGGAAUUAUUACUACAUUGUAUGGAUAUUUUAUUUCACAUAUCAAAAACUGAGCAGAGCUGAGAUCCCUGAUGUGAAAAU